UUUGUUUUUCUCUCUUCCUUAUCUAAAAACACGACGACAAUAGCUCUCUCUUUUUCUCUUCUCUCUCUCUUCUCCAGCAAAACUUUUGGUUCCCGAAGAGUACUGCUGGUAGAAGACAUUGAGGCCAACCCAAUCCAAUCAAGAGUGCUACUGAUAGAAGACGAUGAGGCCAACCCAAAGAGAUUGAUCCAAGGAUUUAGCUAAAUUGACCUAGCCUUAUCCUAUACCGAAUCCUACAUUGAUUUUUCAUUAUUUUCCUUGCCGUUUCAAGUUUUGAGUUUUGAACUUCGAGACCAUUGGUCGACAUGGCCAAUUUCGCAGAGAGAAGACUUAAACCUCCAUCUCCAACAAAUGCAAACAUAAGGAGAUGAAGCAAUGAUUGAUGUUUCAGAUAAAAGAAAGGAAACUAGCUCCACAAAGCGAGAACCUUCAUAUUUUGAGAUAGUAGAGAAGACACCUCGAAAAUGUAGAAGUUGUGAUAAUACUGGCCAUUAUCGUAACAAGUGUCCAUCAAUUAACAAGUAGAUGAGUGCAUUGGAACCCAUGUUUGUUGAGAAUAUUGGCACAUAUGUUCUCUUAACUCCGGAUCAGGUUAUUCAAUUCUGAAUUUAGGCAAUACAACAUGAUAAAAAUCUGUUUGUAUUUGGUGUAAUGCAUGAUGAACAUUAGUGGCCUGGAGGAUUUUUAAAAUAUUUUUUUUUUUAUCUGGAAAUUCAUUAAAGAAAGGCAAAAGCCACAAAGGGUUUAGGGUGUUUGGAAGGAGUUUUGUUGUUUGGUUUUAGUUUCUUUUUACUAUAGUUUCUUCUUGUUCUUCCUUUGUGGCCUGGAGGAUUUAAGAAGAUGACUCAAAAUCAGUUAUCUUCUUUUUUAUCUCUCGCAGCAUAUAAGAGUUUUGUAUAUGACAUAUUAUUAUGUAAAACACAUACAUUAAUGCUCUAUGUCUUCUAUCUUGUUCUUUGGUGUGAAA